CAGACGUGGCGUAAUGGAUCAGCGCAUCGGAUUUCUAAUCCGACGGUUGUGAGUUCGAAUCUCACCGUCUG
rnacentral:tRNA from 1 species